CAAAAGGCCAACCAUCAACCAUACAAUGUGUUGUAUUGCAGGUACUUCUUCAGUGGCGUCCCUGCAGAACAUGCGGAACAAAUUGGAAGAAUACAUGGGAGCCCCUCUCCUGCCUUGAAUCGUUGGGCUUCAGCAACUGAGAUACAUCCAUGAUGAUGAGCCCUUUUGAAUGCCACUCCUGUUCCAAG